rnacentral:rRNA from 1 species
AACGAACGCUGGCGGCAUGCCUAACACAUGCAAGUCGAACGAGACCUUCGGGUCUAGUGGCGCACGGGUGCGUAACGCGUGGGAAUCUGCCCUUGGGUUCGGAAUAACAGUUGGAAACGACUGCUAAUACCGGAUGAUGACGUAAGUCCAAAGAUUUAUCGCCCAGGGAUGAGCCCGCGUAGGAUUAGCUAGUUGGUGGGGUAAAGGCCUACCAAGGCGACGAUCCUUAGCUGGUCUGAGAGGAUGAUCAGCCACACUGGGACUGAGACACGGCCCAGACCCUUCGGGAGGGAGGCGUUGGGAAUAUUGGACAAUGGGCGAAAGCCUGAUCCAGCAAUGCCGCGUGAGUGAUGAAGGCCUUAGGGUUGUAAAACUCUUUUACCCGGGAUGAUAAUGACAGUACCGGGAGAAUAAGCCCCGGCUAACUCCGUG